rnacentral:lncRNA from 1 species
AGCCAGACCCUCAUAAAUAAGAGUUUUAUUUGUUUUUUUCAUGAACCCCAUUUAAUACAGUAGUUGAAACAUAUUCUAUUAUUGCAUAUGACAAAUGACAAACGACAAAUUAAUUAAACACAUCAUGAUGUUUUACAAAUUAGUAACGUCUUCUCUCCAAAAUAUACAUCAAUAAAAACAGAAAGGAACACUACAUAUAUCUGACAUAAACAAACCAUUUAUAAUAACGUGGGUCCAUGUAGUUCAAUACAUAACGAAUUUAUCAAUCUGAAGACAUUUAAUGGCCC